rnacentral:lncRNA from 1 species
GAAGUUCAAGAUUUUCUGAAAUCGAUUCGAUCAUAACUUGCCAACCACACAUGGGAAUUGAGAGUUCUUGGACUUUUUGGAAAUGGGAGAACAAGAUCUUCAACUUUCAUGUUGGGCAAAAAUUCAUUUGAAGCUUGUAUCAUGAUGUAAGUUUGAGGAUCAAGACUUUCCAUUUAUGGCAGGGUUUAGUUACAGGCCCAGUUUCCAUUUUGGGAAAUUCAUGAUCUGGCUUCAAAUUCCUCCAUGAUGGUGUUUGGCAUGAUAUAUGAUGACUAUUUGGACAUGAAUGAACUCUCACAAACCAAUUCCAAUCAUCCAAUCACUGAUUAAAUGGACAGUUGACCAACAGUUGACUUUUAGGGUUUCUG